rnacentral:rRNA from 1 species
CCUACGGGGAGCAGCAGUGAGGAAUAUUGGUCAAUGGCCGGAAGGCUGAACCAGCCAAGCCGCGUGAAGGACGCAGGUGCCAAGCAUUGUAAACUUCUUUUGUCAAGGGACAAAAUCAGGCUCGAGAGCCUGACCGAGGGUACUUGAAGAAAAAGCAUCGGCUAACUCCGUGCCAGCAGCCGCGGUAAUACGGAGGAUGCGAGCGUUAGCCGGAUUUAUUGGGUUUAAAGGGUGCGUAGGCGGGCUGUUAAGUCAGCGGUAAAAUCCCGGGGCUCAACCCCGGCGAGCCGUUGAAACUGGCUGUCUUGAGAUGUCGAGAGGUAUGCGGAAUGCGCAGUGUAGCGGUGAAAUGCUUAGAUAUUGCGCAGAACUCCGAUUGCGAAGGCAGCAUACCGGCGGCGAUCUGACGCUGAGGCACGAAAGCGUGGGUAUCGAACAGGAUUAGAUACCCUUGUAGUC